rnacentral:lncRNA from 1 species
AUCUCUUUUCACCUCCUCAUUCUACAAAUACACUUCUUCUUUUCACUAUACACAGAGCUGGAUAUAUAAUUUAGACCUAGAAAAAAAUACACUAAUUCCGCACUACUUUGGUGUCUCUCUUUUUCACUAUUAGAAAAGAACUCCUACUGAUUUUUCUCACUAUCUUCUGGAUUUCUAGUUUACUGGAAGCUGGUUUUGGUUUUCUGUUUGGGUUUGUUGUUGUUUCUCACUCAACUUUUUAGAGAUCUAUCUUUUUUCUAUUUGUUUUCUUGGUGCUGUAAGGUACUUUUCUUAACUAAAGUGUAAGGUUUCAUUCUUUUGCCGAAUCAUGAUAGAAAUCAGUUGACAAAUCUGCAGCUAGUUUGAACCAUGCUAGUUUGAAG